AUUGAACGCUGGCGGCAGGCCUAACACAUGCAAGUCGAGCGGAUGAAGGGAGCGUGCGCCUGGCUGCAGCUGCGGACGGGUGAGUGAUGCCUAGGAAUCUGCCCGAUAUUGGGGGAUAACGUCAGGAAGCGGGAGCUAAUAUAGCAUACGUUCUGAGGGUGAACGUGGGGGAUCUUCGGACCUCACGCUAUUAGCUGAGCCUAGGUCGUAUUAGCUAGUUGGUGGGGUAAGGGCCUACCAAGGCGACGAUCCGUAGCAGGCCUGAGAGGAGGACCAGUCACACUGGAACUGAGACACGUCCCCGCUCCUUACGGGAGGCGCCAGAGGGAAAUUUUGGACAUGGGGCGAAAGCUUGAUCCACCCAUGCGGCGGGGGUGAAGAGGUUCUUCGGAUUGUAAACCACUUUAAGUGGGGAGAAAGGGUAGUUAGUUAAUACUUUGCUGUUUGGCCGUGACCAAUAGAAUAAGCACGGGCAACCUUCUU
rnacentral:rRNA from 1 species